CCCCAGCCCCAGGCUCUGAGGUGACCUCGUGAGGGCAGGCACUUACUCAGUAGCCAGAGGAGCCACAACAUGUCUGCCACAGGCUUCAGCCUCAUGGAGCUGCUCGGUGGCUGGGUGGGAGUCACUCACAUACCAAGUAGAGCAGACAUGGAAAGUCUGAGCACUCGGGUUCUGCCCCUGGCAACAGUGGAACCAGGAUGUGGCCACGGCGCCAUGAUCAGAACGUGAUCAUGGUGUCACAGCAGGGCUGGGGAGGGGCCUGUGGAGGGCAGCCAAAGCCCAGGCUCACGCCUGUGGGGGAGUGAGGGCAGGUAGGCACCCCACAGGGAGGGGAGACACCUGGUCAUGGGGACAAGGAGGAGCAGGAACCAAACUGGGAGCUUCCCUCUCUGCCUGGGAACAUGGUGGUGGCUGGCAACAACACACAACAGCAUGUGAGGCCUGGCCAGGCUAACCAAGGGCUGAGGGUACCCCAAAAGUGGUAUCUCUGGGAUACCUUGCACCCCAAAAUUUUAUGCUCUUCUGGAGGGGAAAGGGACAACAUCUGCUCCAUCUGAAGGGGAUUGGAAAGCACACGUGUCCCAGCACCAGCUUGCUUCAGGAUGCAAUGGGAAGACGGCUCGAUCUCUUCUGGGCAGCCAUGCCACUUUCUGAACUCCCAGGGAGUCAAGAGAGCACCAGCUGGUCUUCCUCUGCAUCUGGCACAGGUGCAUGGUGUAUGGUGCCCAGUCCUCAGCCCAGGAUGGCAAGAGGCAUGACCAGAGAUAUCAGAUAUAGGCAGGAGAGGCUGACAUUGCUGUAGCAGCAUGGUUCCAAGCUGGGUCUUGGCUGUAGUGAGCAGAGGACCAACAGGGACAGGGGGACUGCAGAGCCAGGUGCAUAGCAUGGUUCUUCAACAUGCACACUGGCCUAGCCCGCCAAGAAAAAGGCACAGAGAGCUUAACCAAAGAAGAAGGAAUGAUGUCUGAUGUUUGUCAGAGUGUGUCAGCUCUCUGAGUUAAACUGGGGGGUUUGGGCAAGGAGAGGAUGUCCGAUCACUUCAAAAACUCAUAAAGAUGGAGGCUUCAAAGAUGAAGUGUGAACUCCAGACUCAGUGACUUGUCAAGCAGCAUUCCUAGAAAGAUUGUGUCUUAAAUAACUUGAAAUGUAAGCAGAGAUGAUAGAGAAAUGCUUUCAAAAACACCUGUUAUGGUGAAAAAAAACCCCAACAGUGAUUUCAUAAAGGCAAUUGUGGUAAAAAAUGCCUAAAUCUACUUUCUCAUGUUAGCUGGAUUGAAGUAAUCAGAGUACUCAUACAGCCAUAACAACAGUGCUGUUAACAGAAAUAUGUUUGUAUAUCACAGAAUCAUAGAAAAUGCUGGGUUAGAAGGGAUUCAUGAAGAUCAUUGAGUCCUGGCCCUGCGCAGGACACCCUAAGAAUCACACCAUGUGCCUGAGGAUGUUGUCCAAAUACUUCUUGAACUCUGACAGGCUUGGUGCUGUGACCACUUCCUUGGAGAGCCUGUUCCAGUGCCCAACCACCCUCUGGGUGAAGAACCUUUCCCUGAUAUCCAACCUAAACCUCUCCUGACUCAGUAUGUUCCUAGAAAAGAAACACCAGUCUCUUUGCUUACAGAGGAGGCCAUGAGCAGUUAUGCUUGUGUAGAUGUUACAGUGGAAUAAGGAAGGGGCCAACAGAGCCCCUGAGACAUGCCAGGUUAUUCAUUCCUUACAGAGCAUCAAAGGAAAGGGAAGACUGCUUCAUUUACUAAAACAUAUCCCUAAAGGGGCAGACAGGGAAGGGGGACGUUUGCUCCAUUGAUGUAGGGAGUCAGACAGUACGGCACUGUCUUUCAUGAAGCCAAACCUACUUGAAGAGCCCAACACUGAACACCUUCAACCUGGUAGCUGUGGCCCUGUGGGAAGGGAUGUGGGUACCAGCCCAUGCAGAGCAGGGCAGAGAUCUCCAUCUCCACAGACAAAAGCAUUAGAGGGUGUUUGAUUCGAACCAAAAUUCUAUGAAUUGCUGAGUUUAAUCACAGGUUAAAUAAUUUUCAUUCCUCAUUUGUACUUUAUUUUGGUGGGUUUACUGUCAUUGGCUGAGAGCUCUGCGAAUAUGCUGAUAAAUAUAGACUUCAUAUUAAAAUUGGCACUCAUUUUUAACUUGGUAGAUAUGUUAAUCUAUUCACAUUUAUACAAGCACUGUAGAGUUAUAACAUGCAUUAAUUCAAAUACUUAAUUUACAUUUUAUUUUGUUAGGAAAUAGUGAAUGAAGCAUUUUUUACUUGACAUUUAGAAAAUGGAAUAUUUAAUUGAUAGCAAAAACAGUAUUUAAAAAUGGUUUCUUGAAUUAUUAAUACAACCUAAGAUGGAGUGGCUACAUAAAAGCAUGUUUGAACCAACUGCUCUAGUCUUUUUAGGCAGGUUUGCUUAGUGCAAGAUCAACCUGAUCUGACCACAAAUUUAUCCCUACUGUGGGUGGGGGCUUGGACUACAGAGCACCAGAGAGGCCUCUUCCCACCUCAAUCUUUCUGUGGUAACUAAAUGGGUUCUUCCAAUGACUGCAUCAUUCAGGCUUUUGGAAUGAGGAAAUCUCAGGGUCUCACACAUUUUUUCCUUGCUUGUUGUCAACGUGUAAAAAAUAAUUCCUUUCCUACUCCCAGAUGGGUUUUCAACUUUGAAUGAGUUAUUUAUUCAAUGGCAGCAACCCAGGCCACUGAAAUUAAAUUGUACACCUGCAAAAACAGACUAAAGUGGACAAGUUGCUGAACAUUUCUUUCACACCAAGCUUUAGGAGCUUAGUGUUUGUCACAGCUUUGCAUGUCCUUAAGUCUUGGGCAAAAAUGUCUUUUUUAAAACUAACACUUAACUUUCUUUUAUGUAUUCAGAAAAAUAAACAUAAAUUAGCAUAAAUUAAUCAAGAUGUUUGACUAUUUUUAUAAAUGAAAUGCAUUUUAUUGGAUAAAAACAGCUAUGUUUCUUUUGAUCCUGUAACUACUAGGCAACAGAGUUGGAGAAACUUCCUUCAGUUGUCUUUCGAAAGAAAGUCCUCUGAACCUGAGCAGAGCUUUGGCUUCAUGACUACAACAGCAAAAUCUUCCAUGGAUCCUCAUACAAGUUAUACGUGUGAGGAAAACAUCCUGUGUUUCAGGUGAAAAUCCUAAACCUUCCUGAUGAGCAGACCACAAGCAGCAAGAAGACACUUGGGCUCAUCCAUCUCCAGGUCCUGCCAAUGGAAUUGAUAAAGGGGAGCUUCAGUGUGGGUCAUCUCCUCACAGUUACCUACAGAUACUAUAGAAAGACACAUCUUCAGUAAUUGUUUUGGAGCCCAACAUUUCUGGUAACAAGGCGAUUGUGACCCACUAGGGAGCAAGUUAUCAGGAUAUCUGGAAAUACCUACCCCACAUUCUCGGAGGCACAUGGCUUGUCCUGAUGGCUUAUUUUCUCAGCUGUGCUGCCCAACAGCCAGAGUGAGUGUUGACCUCAAUAACUUCCAGCCCUCCUCAUUUAAGAGGAGGCAACUGAUGAAGUAGAUGAUCAAACAAUAAUGUGAAUAAAUGUCCACCUUUUUGUGAGGGCACGACUGAUGGGGCAGAUGUUUUUCACAUUCACUAGAAAGCUUAGUAACCUUUUGCAAGUACAUUAGGUACAUUUUAAAGCCUGACUUAUGCAGAAUGUCACUUAUUAAUGCUAUUUAGGAUCGGUAGAUGAGAAAUCUGUACCACAUUCAUCAUUUACAAUAAAAGCAGAGCUAAGAGAGAAAGAAC